GAUCAACGCUGGCGGCGUGCCUAAUGCAUGCAAGUCGAACGGGGUGACUUUCGGGUCACUCACGUGGCGGACGGGUGCGGAACACGUGGGCAAUCCACCCUCGGGCGGGGGAUAGCCUCCAGAAAUGGGGGGUAAUGCCGCAUACGUGGGCCGGCGAGUGGCGCCGGUUCGGAAAGGUGCAUUGCAAGAUGCGCCACCCGAGGACGAGCCUGCGGCCGAUUAGCUGGUUGGUGGGGUAACGGCCUACCAAGGCGAUGAUCGGUAGCUGGUCUGAGAGGACGGCCAGCCACACGGGGACUGGGACACGGCCCCGACUCCUACGGGAGGCAGCAGCAAGGAAUCUUCCGCAAUGGGCGAAAGCCUGACGGAGCAACGCCGCGUGCGGGAUGACGCCCUUCGGGGUGUAAACCGCUUUUCGGGGGGACGAAAAUUUGACGGUACCCCCGGAAUAAGGACCGGCUAACUACGUGCCAGCAGCCGCAGUAAAAC
rnacentral:rRNA from 1 species